GGAUUUCUCCAAGAUGAAUCCGUCCCCAGGCAAGUUUUCCAUGGGUUUCUCCAUGAAUCCAUCCCCAGGUAAGUUUUCCAUGGAUUUCUCAAUUAUGGGAAGAAUUUUCCAUGGAUUUCUCCAAGGUGAAUCCAUCCCACAGCAAGUUUUCCAUGGAUUUCUCCAUGAAUCCAUCCCCAGGUAAGUUUUCCAUAGAUUUCUCAACGAUGGAAUUUUCCAUGGAUUUCUCCAAGAUGAUUCCAUCCCACAGUGAGUUUUCCAUGGAUUUCUCAACUUUUGGAAGAGUUUUCCAUGGAUUUCUUGGCCUGGGAAAGAGUUUUCCAUGGAUUUCUCAAUUAUGGGAAGAAUUUUCCAUGGAUUUCUCCAAGGUGAAUCCAUCCCACAGUGAGUUUUCCAUGGAUUUCUCAACUUUGGGAAGAGUUUUCCAUGGAUUUCUCCAAGGUGAAUCUAUCCCACAAUGAGUUUUCCAUGGAUUUCUC
rnacentral:lncRNA from 1 species